rnacentral:rRNA from 1 species
GUGAGGAAUAUUGCGCAAUGGAGGCAAGCCUGAUCCAGCAAUGCCGCGUGCAGGAAGAAGGCCUUCGGGUUGUAAACUGCUUUUGUACGGAACGAAACGGUCCGGGUUAAUACCCUGGGCUAAUGACGGUACCGUAAGAAUAAGCACCGGCUAACUACGUGCCAGCAGCCGCGGUAAUACGUAGGGUGCAAGCGUUAAUCGGAAUUACUGGGCGUAAAGCGUGCGCAGGCGGUUUUGUAAGACAGGCGUGAAAUCCCCGGGCUCAACCUGGGAAUUGCGCUUGUGACUGCAAGGCUGGAGUGCGGCAGAGGGGGAUGGAAUUCCGCGUGUAGCAGUGAAAUGCGUAGAUAUGCGGAGGAACACCGAUGGCGAAGGCAAUCCCCUGGGCCUGCACUGACGCUCAUGCACGAAAGCGUGGGGAGCAAACAGGAUUAGAAACCCCGGUAGUCC